GUGGCAGCAGCCGCGGUAAAACCAGCACCUCAAGUGGUCAGGAUGAUUAUUGGGCCUAAAGCAUCCGUAGCCGGCUAUGUUAGUUCUCGGUUAAAUCCAUGUGCUCAACACAUGGGCUGUCGAGAAUACUGUAUAGCUAGGGAGUGGGAGAGGUAGACGGUACUCGGUAGGAAGGGGUAAAAUCCUUUGAUCUAUCGAUGACCACCAGUGGCGAAGGCGGUCUACCAGAACACGUCCGACGGUGAGGGAUGAAAGCUGGGGGAGCAAACCGGAUUAGAUACCCGGGUAGUCCCAGCUGUAAACUAUGCAAACUCAGUGAUGCACUGGCUUGUGGCCAGUGCAGUGCCGCAGAGAAGUCGUUAAGUUUGCCGCCUGGGAAGUACGUACGCAAGUAUGAAACUUAAAGGAAUUGGCGGGGGAGCACCACAAGGGGUGAAGCCUGCGGUUCAAUUGGAGUCAACGCCAGAAAUCUUACCCGGAGAGACAGCAGAAUGAAGGUCAAGCUGAAGACUUUACCAGACAAGCUGAGAAGUGGUGCAUGGCCGUCGCCAGCUCGUGCCGUGAGGUGUCCUGUUAAGUCAGGUAACGAGCGAGAUCCCUGCCUCUAGUUGCCACCAUUACUCUCAGGAGUAGUGGGGCGAAUUAGCGGGACUGCCGCAGUUAAUGCGGAGGAAGGAGGGGGCCACGGCAGGUCAGUAUGCCCUGAAACUCUGGGGCCACACGCGGGCUGCAAUGGUAGUUACAGUGAGUUCCGAAUCCGAAAGGAGGAGGUAAUCUUCAAACGCUACCACAGUUAUGAUUGAGGGCUGCAACUCGCCCUCAUGAAUAUGGAAUCCCUAGUAAUUGCGUGUCAUUACCGCGCGGUGAAUACGUCCCUGCUCCUUGCACACACCGCCCGUC
rnacentral:rRNA from 1 species